GACGAACGCUGGCGGCGUGCUUAACACGUGCAAGUCGAACGGAAAGGCCCUGCUUUUGUGGGGUGCUCGAGUGGCGAACGGGUGAGUAACACGUGAGUAACCUGCCCUUGACUUUGGGAUAACUUCAGGAAACUGGGGCUAAUACCGGAUAGGAGCUCCUGCUGCAUGGUGGGGGUUGGAAAGUUUCGGCGGUUGGGGAUGGACUCGCGGCUUAUCAGCUUGUUGGUGGGGUAGUGGCUUACCAAGGCUUCGACGGGUAGCCGGCCUGAGAGGGUGACCGGCCACAUUGGGACUGAGAUACGGCCCAGACUCCUACGGGAGGCAGCAGUGGGGAAUAUUGCACAAUGGGCGGAAGCCUGAUGCAGCAACGCCGCGUGCGGGAUGACGGCCUUCGGGUUGUAAACCGCUUUCGCCUGUGACGAAGCGUGAGUGACGGUAAUGGGUAAAGAAGCACCGGCUAACUACGUG
rnacentral:rRNA from 1 species